rfam:Hoeflea olei strain JC234 contig_5, whole genome shotgun sequence.
AGGUUAUCCCGUGGUGAUUUGGCCGACCGGCUUGCAGCCACGUAAAACAAGUCGCUAAAAAGGUCGGGUUGCAAAACCG